rnacentral:rRNA from 1 species
UACGUAGGGUGCAAGCGUUAAUCGGAAUUACUGGGCGUAAAGCGUGCGCAGGCGGUGAUGUAAGACAGUUGUGAAAUCCCCGGGCUCAACCUGGGAAUUGCGAUGGAGACUGCAAGGCUGGAGUCUGGCAGAGGGGGGUAGAAUUCCACGUGUGAGCAGUGAAAUGCGUAGAGAUGUGGAGGAACACCGAUGGCGAAGGCAGCCCCCUGGGUCAAGACUGACGCUCAUGCACGAAAGCGUGGGGAGCAAACAGG